UCCUCAGCGAGGUCAUCAUGCGAAUUUAACGAUUUUUUUUUAAAGCAACAUCUGUUUUAUGUGAAGUACAGUGUUAUCGGAAAAAUGGUGUCAAAAAUUUAUAUAUUUCUGGAACGUGUCUAAGAGAGAAAAGAGUCUAUACGGUUUCGGAUACAAACAUGAUAGAAAUAUAAAAACUAAAUAUUAUUUUUUAAAGUUGUGUAAUUUCAGUUUUUUACUUGGAGGACGAAGUAUCAUGCCAAUUAAUAUAGUAAAAAAUGUAUAUACAUCUCGGUUAAAUCUGCACAAAUGUUAUUUUAAACAAAAACAAGACUCUUACAGGACCUUGAUUUAAAAAUAACCUCUUAUAUAUAUCAAAUUCUGAAACAUUUAUCAAUAAUAAUGAUAUUUAUGAAUAAUUCAUCAUUAUUUUGACGUCUUUUCUCGCAUAUAAAAAGAGCAUAACUAUUAAAUCGUUAAGCUGAUCAGUUAAAAUAAACUAUAAUGGCACGAGCUAUUCUAUUUUCAUGUAUCUCUGCAUUGUUAUUAAUUAGUUCUGUUUUUGCCCAAGAAUGCACCGAAGAUCGUUGCGAUAAUUGUCCAGUCUUCAGGUGCGUCAGUGGAUCUAUUUUGGUUCCAAAUAGGAUUUGUGGAUGUUGUCCAGGUUGUGUUUUACCACGAGCUGCAGAUUUGUGCUAUGCCUCAACUCAUGGUAACUCUCCGACUUGCGGAGGAAGCCUUAAGUGCUGCAAAGGAAUAUGCAAAAAUGAAUGUUAAAAAGAAUUUGUAAUUGUUAAUAAAAAAUUACUUAUAAAGAAA